rfam:Triticum aestivum genome assembly, contig: Triticum_aestivum_CS42_TGACv1_scaffold_404665_5BL
AUGAUACUCCCUCCGUUCCAAAAUACUUGACUUCCAUUUGUCCAAAAAUGGAUGUACCUAUAUACUAAAACAUGUCUAGAUACAUCUAUAUUUUGACAAAGAAAAGGCAUGUAUUGUGGAACAGAGGGAGUAAAUG